UACGGGGGGAGCAAGCGUUGUUCGGAUUUACUGGGCGUAAAGGGCGCGUAGGCGGCCAGCACAAGUCAGUUGUGAAAUCUCCGAGCUUAACUCGGAACGGUCAACUGAUACUGUGCGGCUAGAGUGCGGAAGGGGCAACUGGAAUUCUUGGUGUAGCGGUGAAAUGCGUAGAUAUCAAGAGGAGCACCUGCGGCGAAGGCGGGUUGCUGGGCCGACACUGACGCUGAGGCGCGAAAGCCAGGGGAGCGAACGGG
rnacentral:rRNA from 1 species